rnacentral:misc_RNA from 1 species
CUCGAAUCUUACAUAUAUAUGUUCUCAUUAUGAUUCAAAAACUAUAUAAUAAAGCUUUCUUUGCUUUUACAUAUUACAGGAAGGCUACAAACAGGAUCCCCAAAUCGAAUGUUACAUAAAUACAGGCCAACCGAUCCAUCAUUUUCGGAUGAUGGAUUAAUCUAUAUUUUGCAUCAAAAUACUACAUAUAAAUAUGUGCAAUAAGAGUAGUUAAUGUGGUCAUAAUCAUAGUGGGAAAUUUUAUGCAGUUCCUGUUGCAGUUAGCAGCAUUACGGUGGCUGUUUCUGUUGCGAUUAUUAUUAGCAGCACCAGCUACAAUAACAGGGACAACUGCUGCGCCUGAUUGUGAAUUGCCAUUGUCAUUUCCAGUUUCAGUCCCACCAGUUGAUCCACCACCAUGUGCACCUGCCCCAGCUGACCGACCGCCACUUGUACCUCCAUGGGCAAAUUUGCUGCCAUUUACUAUACCACUUCUUCCACUGCUAUCACCAUCAUCAUUGAUUUUGUCUUCAUGUCUGCCUGUAAGUCCAACAUUACGCUUCUGCAGAGAAUCUGAAACAAAGGCCUUGUGAAGUGGAGAUGAAGAAGCUAAUAAAUGCAAGCAGUUGAAGAGUAUGAGAAACAACACCACCAUCUGUUCAAUUCCCAUUUGGCUUCCCUACAACUGAAAAUAGAAUGGCUUCUCCAAAACCUCCUUUUUAGAGUCUUUUGUGUAUAUCUGUCUCCCUAUCAAAAUGGAUACCUAUAGCUAUAGGUGUCUUUGGGCAAG